UUUGGUAAGUAAAGCAAUACGAGUAAGCACCCCACAACACUGAAAUAACUGUCAGACUUCGUUUUUAUUAAUUUCGAUUUUGAACAUUACCAUGUAAUAUAAUACGAAUAAGAACGUUUUUUCCCCCGGAAGUUUUUCGCGAUAUCAUGCAAAGUACUUAGUAUUAUUACUAGUAUUUAUUUUUAAACGUAAAAUAUAUUAACGUAAGA